rnacentral:rRNA from 1 species
UAAUACAUAAGCAACCUGCCCUAGACAGGGGGAUAACUAUUGGAAACGAUAGCUAAGACCGCAUAGGUACGGACACUGCAUGGUGACCGUAUUAAAAGUGCCUCAAAGCACUGGUAGAGGAUGGACUUAUGGCGCAUUAGCUGGUUGGCGGGGUAACGGCCCACCAAGGCGACGAUGCGUAGCCGACCUGAGAGGGUGACCGGCCACACUGGGACUGAGACACGGCCCAG